AGGCAUCAGCCCAGUAAGCAGAUGCUUGGGGCUGCUAAGGGAGAGGGGCAGCGCGUCAGGCUCUUCGGCCUGCGAUAGCAGCUUUUUUUUAUUUUAUUUUUAUUUUUGCUACUUGGAGCAGCAAAAACUCUGGAGCCCGCCCUCACAGUUUGGAGUUUGUUUCUGAUCAGAAAUUCAUCAGGGAGAAGGGAGCAACACAGAAUUCUGCCUGUGGGUGUAACUGACUCACACUGAUUUAGGGCAACAGGUUUUUUGAACAGCGCCUGAAUCUGGCAGAUUAAACCCCCAGAAUUCCUUAGAAUUUCGCACCGUGUUUGAGAAACUUUUUCUAAGGAAUUAUUCGUGACCGUGCUGCAGCGUUUCUUGAGACCCGUCCCCAGGCGGCAGGAGUGACUGAUUUAGCGCCUGCGAGUCUCUUUGCCGGCCGGGACAGCGCUCCGGCUAUGCGCGCUCUGGGGGGUUCCGGCCUGCGGGCGCUGCUCUCAGUAGCAUGCUUGAUUUCAUGGUGUUACGUCCUAGCUGGGCCCCCAGGAGAGAGGAUGACUGCUGCUGCUGGAUCCUGCAUUGUGCUCCCUGGACUGGAUCAGUUGCAGGGUGUUAGCCUCAUGCAAUGGAAAUUUUCUGAGCAGUACCUUGUGACUUAUCAUGUCAAUAACUCCAGUCUUCCUGACAUUGUGGACCAAGACAGAUUUCUUUUCCAGAAGUCAAAUGGAUCUCUCCAGAUCUGUGGAUUAAAAGUGAAUGACAGUGGGAUCUAUACCCUAAUAAUAAACAUGAAGAAGCAAAAUGACAGAUCCAUCCAACUAGAAGUUGUUGAGCCUGUGUCCCAGCCGGAACUCUGGAGCAACUUGUCCUUGAUCGGCCUUACCACUGAGCUGGUGUGCAACACCUCAGUUGAGAAAGUGGCUAAAUAUCAGUGGAAGAAGGAUGGGAAGCCCCUCCCUAUAGAAAGCCAUUACCAGCUCUCUCAGAAUAACAGUGUAUUACUCAUAUUAACCACCACCUGGUCUGACAAAGGCUCCUAUAGUUGUAAUGUCAGCAAUGAGGUCAGAUGGCAUGAACUUUCCCUGGAGCUGUCCAUUCAACAAUUCAUGAGUCCUGCUCCCACCCCAAAACCACUCAGCAUUGUAUCUAUAAGAUCUCUUUUCACCCUUGUGGGGGAAGAGACGGGGGGAGACUUCUGGUGCGUUCUUAUCCAUGCUGAAAGGCUGGGGAGAGAGUAAGGAGAGAACGUGAGAAAGAGGAUGCCAUUUACCUCCGGAGGGAAAGGAAACAGAGCUCAGAAGGGUUUGGAUGGCAGUCUGAAGGAGCUGGGUUUGAAUCUGCCCUAAUCAGCAAGGACGUGUGAGUGGAGAAGCCAGAAACUGGCUAG
ensembl:lncRNA